rnacentral:ncRNA from 2 species
AGCGUUCAUAGUACAAACGGUGGGCUUAGCUCGAGAGGGCGGCCCAACUCAAUCCCGCCGCGGUGCUCUUCAUUGAGUGUCGAGGUGGGCCGGCACGUUUACUUUGAACAAAUUAGAGUGCUUAAAGCAGGCUAAAACUUCGCCUGAAUACUGUGUGCAUGGAAUAAUGGAAUAGGACCUCGGUUCUAUUUUGUUGGUUUUCGGAACCCCGAGGUAAUGAUUAAUAGGAACGGAUGGGGGCAUUCGUAUUGCGACGUUAGAGGUGAAAUUCUUGGAUCGUCGCAAGACGGACAGAAGCGAAAGCAUUUGCCAAAAACGCUUUCAUUGAUCAAGAACGAAAGUUAGAGGUUCGAAGGCGAUCAGAUACCGCCCUAGUUCUAACCAUAAACGAUGCCAGCUAGCGAUCCGCCGACGUUCCUCCGAUGACUCGGCGGGCAGCUUCGGGAUAAGGAUUGGCU